UGAGGAAUAUUGGUCAAUGGACGAGAGUCUGAACCAGCCAAGUAGCGUGCAGGAUGACGGCCCUAUGGGUUGUAAACUGCUUUUGUUUGGGAAUAAUCGACAUUACGUGUAAUGUUUUGCAUGUACCAUUCGAAUAAGGACCGGCUAAUUCCGUGCCAGCAGCCGCGGUAAUACGGAAGGUCCAGGCGUUAUCCGGAUUUAUUGGGUUUAAAGGGAGUGUAGGCGGUUGGUUAAGCGUGUUGUGAAAUGUAGAUGCUCAACAUCUGACUUGCAGCGCGAACUGGCUGACUUGAGUACACACAACGUAGGCGGAAGUCAUGGUGUAGCGGUGAAAUGCUUAGAUAUCAUGAAGAACUCCGAUUGCGAAGGCAGCUUACGGGAGUGUUACUGACGCUUAAGCUCGAAGGUGCGGGUAUCGAACAG
rnacentral:rRNA from 1 species